ACGCUAGCGGCAGGCCUAACACAUGCAAGUCGAGGGAGGAGCUUUCGGGCUUCGACCGGCGUACGGGUGCGUAACGCGUAUACAAUCUGCCUUUCACAUAGGGAUAGCCCGAAGAAAUUUGGAUUAAUACCUAAUGGUAUAUAGGGAUGGCAUCAUUUUUAUAUUAAAGCUGAGGCGGUGAAAGAUGAGUAUGCGUUCUAUUAGCUAGUUGGAGAGGUAACGGCUCCCCAAGGCGACGAUAGAUAGGGGUUCUGAGAGGGAUAUCCCCCACACUGGUACUGAGAUACGGACCAGACUCCUACGGGAGGCAGCAGUGAGGAAUAUUGGACAAUGGUCGGAAGACUGAUCCAGCCAUGCCGCGUGCAGGAAGACGGCCUUAUGGGUUGUAAACUGCUUUUGCAGGGGAAGAAUAAGGACUACGAGUAGUUUGAUGACGGUACUCUGCGAAUAAGCAUCGGCUAACUCCGUGCCAGCAGCCGCGGUAAUACGGAGGAUGCGAGUGUUAUCCGGAAUCAUUGGGUUUAAAGGGUCCGUAGGCGGGCUAAUAAGUCAGAGGUGAAAGCGCUCAGCUCAACUGAGCAACUGCCUUUGAAACUGUUAGUCUUGAAUGGUUGUGAAGUAGUUGGAAUGUGUAGUGUAGCGGUGAAAUGCUUAGAUAUUACACAGAACACCGAUAGCGAAGGCAUAUUACUAACAAUUAAUUGACGCUGAUGGACGAAAGCGUGGGGAGCGAACAGGAUUAGAUACCCUGGUAGUCCACGCUGUAAACGAUGGAUACUAGCUGUUUGGAUGAAAGUUUGAGUGGCUAAGCGAAAGUGAUAAGUAUCCCACCUGGGGAGUACGCACGCAAGUGUGAAACUCAAAGGAAUUGACGGGGGCCCGCACAAGCGGUGGAGCAUGUGGUUUAAUUCGAUGAU
rnacentral:rRNA from 1 species